rnacentral:rRNA from 1 species
UAGGGAAUCUUCCACAAUGGACGCAAGUCUGAUGGAGCAACGCCGCGUGAGUGAAGAAGGUCUUCGGAUCGUAAAACUCUGUUGUUAGAGAAGAACAUGCGAGAGAGUAACUGUUCUUGUAUUGACGGUAUCUAACCAGAAAGCCACGGCUAACUACGUGCCGA